GACGAACGCUGGCGGCGUGCUUAACACAUGCAAGUCGAACGGAAAGGCCCUGCUUUUGUGGGGUGCUCGAGUGGCGAACGGGUGAGUAACACGUGAGUAACCUGCCCUUGACUUUGGGAUAACUUCAGGAAACUGGGGCUAAUACCGGAUAGGAGCUCCUGCUGCAUGGUGGGGGUUGGAAAGUUUCGGCGGUUGGGGAUGGACUCGCGGCUUAUCAGCUUGUUGGUGGGGUAGUGGCUUACCAAGGCUUUGACGGGUAGCCGGCCUGAGAGGGUGACCGGCCACAUGGGGACUGGGAUACGGCCCAGACUCCUACGGGGGGCAGCAGUGGGGAAUAUUGCACAAUGGGCGGAAGCCUGAUGCAGCAACGCCGCGUGCGGGAUGACGGCCUUCGGGUUGUAAACCGCUUUCGCCUGUGACGAAGCGUGAGUGACGGUAAUGGGUAAAGAAGCACCGGCAAACUACGU
rnacentral:rRNA from 1 species